UUGCUCCUCACAGGAGGAAGAGAGAGCAGAUAUACUAAAAUUGGAACGAUACAGAGAAGAUUAGCAUGGCCCGUGCACAAGGAUGACACACAAGGUCUCUCUCUUGCU